rnacentral:misc_RNA from 1 species
AGUGUUGGGGUCAUUUGUUAUGUCUUGCUGUCUGGGUUAUCUCCCUUUAUGGGGGAUUCGGACGUUGAAACACUGUCUAACGUUACGAGGGGUGAUUAUGAUUUUGAUGAUGAGGCGUUCGACGAGAUAUCAGACUUGGCUAAGGAUUUUAUCAACAAGACAAUAAAACUCAACAAAAAGAAAAGAUUGACCAUAGACCAGUGUUUGGAACAUCCAUGGUUAGCGAGAUCAGAAAGAAACAGUUCCAAGAAACUAAGACAGAGUCUAAGAAAUCUGAAGCAGUUCAUGGCACGUCGUAAAUGGCAGUUUUAAAUAUGACGAUUGAAACAUUGUAAAAUGGGAAACGCCAUUCGAGCAGUGGGACGCAUUUCGAUGCUUCAGAAAAGCCGCAGUGGAAGUGAGAGCUCGGUACAGAGUGACUCGGAUGUUUCCUCACAAACUGACAAUAGUACUUUUUCCUCCUCUCGCCCGUCGUCCAUAGGAUCCGAGGGCAAAUCAGAUCUCCGACAGAUCAAGCCAUCCAACAAUUUGGUGCUUAAUCCACCGAAUCCAUGUGCCAACCCAUCCCACAUAACGAACCCUGAUCGAACAGAGGGCCUACCAAAACAAGGCAGGGACCCACAGCUGGCCUUUCUGAAAGAAAUGGUUGACUGUGAGGCCUUUGUUGGUGAUAAUGCAAGAUUUGAUGUUCGAAUCAAUGGAAAUAAAACAAUGCCACCUAGUGUUCAGUGGUAUCACGAAGGGGAGACAAUUCAAAGUGAAGGGAAAUAUUCUGUGAUGGAUGCUUUAUCAGACAAUGGUGAAUACUCACUGAUCAUUAAGAACGUGGAUGGCAGCAAUGAAGGUGAAUACACCUGCAAAGCCACAUCAGGUGGUCACGAGAUCACCUGUAGUGCCGAUUUAAUUCUUAAUGAUGCAGGUGCAAUAUAAAUGACAGCACCAAUAAAUUUUAUCUAUGUGCAAUAAGGUCUUUGAUAAGUUUUUUACUUAUUGGACCUGUCAGUCAAUGGAAGGACUUAAUCAUAACUGCCAAUCAUCCCUAGCUUAACUUAUCCUGUUAGAUUCUACAUUUACAAUGUUUAGCUCAGUGUAUGAGGGAAGGGCUCUGUGCCCUGUGUCUGUUCUGUAUCUAUGACUUUUGGGGUUUGAGACUUGCCAUUAUUUGACCCUGAUGUUCCACCAGCAAGCUUUCUUCAUUGUAACAAGCUGAUGGUCACUCUUGAAUCCUAAUUCUUUCGAUUUUCGGACCCUUAACCUUUAAGGACAGACACAUGGCAUAGACCAUCCUGACAAGUGACUUAGAAGUUAGAGAGGGCAUUGUAUAUUGCAGUGUUUAUUUAUUUUGACAAGGUAGUGGUUCUACAUCUGUAUAAUUCUUUUCUACUUAAAGAGAAGGUCCAAAUUCCCUGAACCUGAUUUGGGUCUCUUUUUAUGUACAAAACUACUAUGUUUAUUUUAUGUUCAUGCACUGUACUGAACAUUUUAAAUUAAAAUAAAAUUUUAGAU